rnacentral:rRNA from 1 species
GACAGAGGAUGCAAGCGUUAUCCGGAAUGAUUGGGCGUAAAGCGUCUGUAGGUGGCUUUUUAAGUCCGCCGUCAAAUCCCAGGGCUCAACCCUGGACAGGCGGUGGAAACUACCAAGCUGGAGUACGGUAGGGGUAGAGGGAAUUUCCAGUGGAGCGGUGAAAUGCGUAGAUAUUGGAAAGACCACCGAUGGCGAAGGCACUCUACUGGGCCAUUACUGACACUGAGAGACGAAAGCUAGGGGGAGCGAAUGGG